rnacentral:rRNA from 1 species
UACGUAGGGUGCGAGCGUUGUCCGGAAUUACUGGGCGUAAAGAGCCCGUAGGUGGUUUGUCACGUCGUCUGUGAAAUUCCGGGGCUUAACCUCGGGCGUGCAGGCGAUACGGGCAAUACUUGAGUGCUGUAGGGGAGACUGGAAUUCCUGGUGUAGCGGUGAAAUGCGCAGAUAUCAGGAGGAACACCAAUGGCGAAGGCAGGUCUCUGGGCAGUUACUGACGCUGAGGAGCGAAAGCAUGGGUAGCGAACAGGAUUAGAUA